rnacentral:rRNA from 1 species
UACGUAGGUGGCAAGCGUUGUCCGGAUUUAUUGGGCGUAAAGCGCGUGUAGGCGGCCAGAUAGGUCUGCUGUGAAAACUCGAGGCUCAACCUCGAGCUGUCGGCGGAAACCAUCUGGCUAGAGUCCGGAAGAGGAGAGUGGAAUUCCUGGUGUAGCGGUGAAAUGCGCAGAUAUCAGGAAGAACACCUAUGGCGAAGGCAGCUCUCUGGGACGGUACUGACGCUGAGACGCGAAAGCGUGGGGAGCGAACAGG